rnacentral:rRNA from 1 species
CACGUAGGGGACGAGCGUUGUCCGGAUUCAUUGGGCGUAAAGCGCGCGUAGGCGGCCCGAUAAGUCCGCUGUGAAAGUCGGGGGCUCAACCCUCGAAAGCCGGUGGAUACUGUCAGGCUAGAGUACGGAAGAGGCGAGUGGAAUUCCUGGUGUAGCGGUGAAAUGCGCAGAUAUCAGGAGGAACACCCCAUUGCGAAGGCAGCUCGCUGGGACGUUACUGACGCUGAGACGCGAAAGCGUGGGGAGCAAACAGG